UACGUAGGGUGCGAGCGUUGUCCGGAAUUACUGGGCGUAAAGAGCUCGUAGGUGGUUUGUCGCGUUGUUCGUGAAAACUCACAGCUUAACUGUGGGCGUGCGGGCGAUACGGGCAGACUGGAGUACUGCAGGGGAGACUGGAAUUCCUGGUGUAGCGGUGGAAUGCGCAGAUAUCAGGAGGAACACCGGUGGCGAAGGCGGGUCUCUGGGCAGUAACUGACGCUGAGGAGCGAAAACGUGGGGAGCGAACAGG
rnacentral:rRNA from 1 species